AUUGAACGCUGGCGGCAGGCCUCACACAUGCAAGUCGAGCGAGCGGCGGACGGGGGAGUAAUGUCUGGGAAACUGCCUGAGGGAGGGGGAUAACUCCUGGAAACGGUAGCUAAUAACGCAUACCAUCCGCUGUGACCAGAUGGGAGUAGUUAGUAGGUGGGGUAACGGCUCACCUAGGCGACGAUCCCUAGCUGGUCUGAGAGGGUGACCAGCCACACUGGAAAUUAGACACGGUCCAGACGCCUACGGGAGGCAGAAGGGGGGAAGAUUGCACAAUGGGCGCAAGCCUGAUGCAGCCAUGCCGCGUGUGUGAAGAAGGCCUUCGGGUUGUAAAGCACUUUCAGCGGGGAGGCGGUACCCGCAGAAGAAGCACCGGCUAACUCCGUGCCAGCAGCCGCGGUAAUAC
rnacentral:rRNA from 1 species